rnacentral:rRNA from 1 species
GGCUCAGGAUGAACGCUGGCGGCGUGCUUAACACAUGCAAGUCGAACGGAGUUUUAGUAAUUGAUUGAUUAAGCUUGCUUUUGAGAGAUUUUACUAAAACUUAGUGGCGGACGGGUGAGUAACGCGUGGGUAACCUGCCGUAUACAGGGGGACAACAGUUGGAAACGACUGCUAAUACCGCAUAAGCGCACAGCAUCGCAUGAUGCAGUGUGAAAAACUCCGGUGGUAUACGAUGGACCCGCGUCUGAUUAGCUAGUUGGUGAGGUAACGGCCCACCAAGGCGACGAUCAGUAGCCGGCCUGAGAGGGUGAACGGCCACAUUGGGACUGAGACACGGCCCAAACUCCUACGGGAGGCAGCAGUGGGGAAUAUUGCACAAUGGGGGAAACCCUGAUGCAGCGACGCCGCGUGAGUGAAGAAGUAUUUCGGUAUGUAAAGCUCUAUCAGCAGGGAAGAAAAUGACGGUACCUGACUAAGAAGCCCCGGCUAACUACGUG